GUCGUAGACCCGAACCCAGGUGAUCUACCCUUGGUCAGGUUGAAGUUCAGGUAACACUGAAUGGAGGACCGAACCGACUUACGUUGAAAAGUGAGCGGAUGAACUGAGGGUAGCGGAGAAAGUCCAAUCGAACUUGGAGAUAGCUGGUUCUCUCCGAAAUAGCUUUAGGGCUAGCCUCAAGUGAUGAUUAUUGGAGGUAGAGCACUGUUUGGACGCGGGGCCCGUCUCGGGUUACCGAAUUCAGACAAACUCCGAAUGCCAAU
rnacentral:rRNA from 1 species